rnacentral:rRNA from 1 species
UACGAAGGGGGCUAGCGUUGCUCGGAAUCACUGGGCGUAAAGCGCACGUAGGCGGAUUGUUAAGUCAGGGGUGAAAUCCUGGAGCUCAACUCCAGAACUGCCUUUGAUACUGGCGAUCUCGAGUCCGGGAGAGGUGAGUGGAACUGCGAGUGUAGAGGUGAAAUUCGUAGAUAUUCGCAAGAACACCAGUGGCGAAGGCGGCUCACUGGCCCGGUACUGACGCUGAGGUGCGAAAGCGUGGGGAGCAAACAGGGAUUAAGAUACCCCUUGAGUACG